rnacentral:rRNA from 1 species
UACGUAAGGUGCGAGCGUUGUCCGGAAUUAUUGGGCGUAAAGAGCUCGUAGGCGGUUUGUCGCGUCUGCUGUGAAAACCUAAGGCUCAACCUUGGGCUUGCAGUGGGUACGGGCAGACUAGAGUGCGGUAGGGGUGACUGGAAUUCCUGGUGUAGCGGUGGAAUGCGCAGAUAUCAGGAGGAACACCGAUGGCGAAGGCAGGUCACUGGGCCGCAACUGACGCUGAGGAGCGAAAGCAUGGGGAGCGAACAGG